GUUAUCUUAAUCUUGUGCUAAUGAUUGCAGAGUUAACUGGUUGAAUCAUAUUUUUUUGUAGCUUUAUUUUAUUUUAUUUUAUUUUUUUCAGUUUCUCCCUUAAAUAUUGAGUUGUUUGAUAAAUGGAAUUUCUUAGUUUUAUUCAGUUUUUUUUCAAUGGAGUUAACAGUAUCAUGACCAAGUCAUAUAUUUGGUAUGUUAAUCCAAAUGAGAUCAAGUUGGUUUUUUUUUUUUU
rnacentral:lncRNA from 1 species